UUUUUAGUAUAAGCAUGUCCCACAUAAUAUUUGGGACAUACUUACACUAAAA
rnacentral:pre_miRNA from 1 species